UACGUAGGGCGCAAGCGUUAUCCGGAAUUAUUGGGCGUAAAGAGCUCGUAGGCGGUUUGUCGCGUCUGCCGUGAAAGUCCGGGGCUCAACUCCGGAUCUGCGGUGGGUACGGGCAGACUAGAGUGAUGUAGGGGAGACUGGAAUUCCUGGUGUAGCGGUGAAAUGCGCAGAUAUCAGGAGGAACACCGAUGGCGAAGGCAGGUCUCUGGGUAGUAACUGACGCUGAGGAACGAAAGCGUGGGGAGCGAACAGG
rnacentral:rRNA from 1 species